CCCAACUGCAAGGCCCAGCUGAGCCCUUGCUCACUUCUUGUGGGAAAAGAGAUGGAAGCAUUUACUUAAUCCCACUGAGAUUUAAGGCUCAUUUAAGUGGAUUCUAACUUUAUUCUCCGAUGAUCCUACGGUUGAAAUACUGGCAGAGCAUGAACAAAAACCAGCAAAAAUGUGAGUUUCUCUGUACAUUUUCUGGAUGGAUUGAAGAUGAAAAGCAUUGCCCCCACAGAUCCUUCUGAUAACUGGGACCUUUGACUCGUGUUCUUAUCAAUGUUGCUUUAGUUCAUGGACUCAUCAUCUUCCCAGGCCUGGAGGAGAUCUCAAAA